ensembl:lncRNA
CACCAUUGCCCCUUGCUUGAGGGGAGGAAUGUCUCCUUUGGGGCUGAGGGGAAUACCACAGACCCCUUGGAGAGUUGCCUCCAUCUUGGGAGUCUCUCUGGGAUCUGAGCUGGGCAGACAGCCAUGAGGGUGGGACCUGCCUCAGUGACACCUGUGGUGGGAAGCAGACCUGAUGCUGGCUGCAAUCUGCAAUCAGAGGUCGUUUGUUUUCCUGUAUUGGGAAGAUGCAGGUUACUCUUGCUGUUUGCUUUCCCUCACCCUGCAGCAAUGGCAGCUCUGAGCACUGCAGUCAAGCUCUACAAAGAAGGAGGAAUGUGCAUGCCUCUUUCAGAAGUUCCAUCAGCGGCAGAGCUCUUUCCCAAAGCAAAACAAGGACAGGCGGUGUGGAGUCACAGUGACCUCCGCCGGCCAGCCCUGCCUUGGCGCGGCUCUGACAGCUUUUCCUGGUGCAGGAAGAGUGCUUGCUGUGCCUGCUCUGAUCUCCUGCUUGCACAGAUGGACAACUUGCUGCUCUUGCACUCCUUGCACACACGGCUAGCUGAAGGCACUGAGUGAAUCGACUAUCAAGCUUGUGAGUUAUGGUGCAACAUGACUUGAAGUUCUUAAACUCAUAAGCUUGGUGUGUAAUUCUUCCUGCAGUCCCGAAUGAAGCACUAUGCGUCUUUCGAGCAGAGCAUCACGUGACAUCUCCAUGCUAGCACAGAUUUGUGCUAAUGUCAAACACACGCACUUGCCAGAAGCUAAAUGUAAAUUUCUUCUCGCAAAGGCAGAGCUACGAGCUGCAUAUGACUAUAACAUUCACUCCAAACAUAUUUUAGCUUUAAGAAAGUUGCUUUAAUGGAAAAAAGAAACAUUAAAAAGUUAUACGUUGUACUGUUUUAAUCACAGCUUUAUAUUCUGAGUAUGCUUGCUUACUUACAUUUCUGUCUGCAGGUGAAAGAGACUGAGAAAAGAGAAGCAAAAUAAAAAUGAAGGAACAUUUUCACUAGCAAUAUUGGCUUCACUGGGCUUUGCUGCAGAUAAAUCUGCUGAUGACUUGAAUAACAAAAGGAAGCUCAAACUAUGAUGAAUCAUUUGCUCCGUAUUUUCAUUUGUCUGGUUUUGUCUUGAUAUUUGCUCCUGUUGUCUCCAUGCAAUAUCUCUCGCGGGGUUUGCAGGAAAAAGGGUUUUGCAAGCUUUCUUUUGAUGGUUGCCUCUCAUUGAAGGAUCCUCCGCACCUUUUAUUUCUUUAGCAAAGAAAUAAGAACUACCUUGCUCCUGUGUAAAUGCUCUCGUCUUACAGCAGAUAAAGCAAACACCCUAAUAUUCGCAGUACAUUCUUGUUUUAUUUAUGCUGACAACUGCAUGGGCAUGUGUCUUGCUGUAGAGUAAACAUAUACUGAAGAUUCGCUGAUAAUUAAAAUCUUGCCAUUGAUAAUGGCAACUCAACCCUAAGAAAAGUUUUUGUUUCAGGGAGAAAGAAAAAGAAAGGGAAAAAGAAAAAUAAAAAGCACUGAUCACCACUUGUGGUAUUCUUAGGAAAAUCGCUAAUAAGAAAAAAAAGUUGUAAAAACUAUUUUUUUUAAUGUGGUUUACUCUUAGAGCCUCGUGAGACUCACCUAUGGCAUUAGCAUAAGCUGAUAGUGAUGUGACAUCUUUCAAAUCCAUCCUUUCCUCAAGGACAUCAAGAGAGGUGAAAGCUGACAGCUCUGUCUUACACUGACAGAGCUUUGGGUCAAGCGGGCAUCACACCAGUUUACGUGAGGGCUGAAGCUGACCUUGUGUCUCUACAGCUCCCAAAGGAUCCUACAGUGAGCACUGAUGUAUUCAAGGCUGUGCAUGCUGGCAUCGCAACCAGAUCUCCACGUUAAGGGCAACAUCGAGGGCAUCUUUCAUCCUGGGGCAAGCACAGAGCAUCAGAAAGAUGUUCUGCUACAAAAAUUUUGCGACAAGCUGCCAUCAUCUCCUGCAGGGCAAAUACAGGAGUCUACUGCUGAAGACAAGCCAUCACAGCCUGCCUCAGGUGCUGACAGCACUUCUUUAACACAUCAGCUUCUCUAGCACAAGCCUUAUUCUCAACAACAGCUGCUACUGAUCGAGCCGUUACUGAUCGGGCAUCUUCUCCUUGUUGGCUAAAAGGCAAAAGCAAAUCUGUCAGAAACAACGUGGCCUAGCAUCUUGUGGACAGAGGGCUAGAUCAGCCCCCAGACUGCUGACUGCACGCUUAUGUCCAGUACAAUGAUUCAAAGGUGCUUUUGGAUGGGCCCAAGGAAGCCCCAUUCAUCUUUAGGAAGCAGCAGGAAAGGUUGUGUGGUGAAUUGGCGAGGCUUGGAUUCAGACACCUGACCCGCCUGCCAUCUAGUGUAUGUUCAGAGCAUACUUCCAGCAGGAGAACAAAGAACAGAAUUAAUCUGAGUGAAUGUGGCACAUUAUCGAGAGCCCACGCUGAAAACACCUUUGCAUUUUCAUCACGAGGGUCUGCUUUUUGGCAAUAGGGUAUACCCUAAAAACAGCUCACCAGCAGCCAUUCGGUUGCAGCGAUCGCACCGCUUUCAAAAACACAACAGACAAAACCCAGCCUACUUCCUUCAGCUGCAAAAGAAGCAGUUUACAUUUCCCACAACCAAUUGUACCCCGUUUACGCAAGACAAGCUACAGAAAGCUUGACUUCUGGGUCUACUGCUUUUACCAAGAGUUACCUCCUUCAUCUGUUUAGCCGUCUGUCUGGAACAGAGCUGCUCACACUUAAUAUGCAC